rnacentral:rRNA from 1 species
UACAGAGGGUGCAAACGUUGCUCGGAAUUAUUGGGCGUAAAGCGCAUGUAGGCGGCACGGUAAGUCGACUGUGAAAGCCCUUGGCUCAACCAAGGAAGUGCAGUCGAAACUGCCGAGCUCGAGUUCUGAAGAGGGUCGCGGAAUGGCCAGUGUAGAGGUGAAAUUCGUAGAUAUUGGCUAGAACACCAGUGGCGAAGGCGGCGACCUGGGAAGAUACUGACGCUGAGAUGCGAAAGCGUGGGGAGCGAACAGG